rnacentral:lncRNA from 1 species
UGGGCAUGGGAGAGGCGGGGAGGACUCACCAAUUUUAAAAGAUUCCUAUCAUAUUUACUUCUCAAAUAUAUCUUUUUCAUGAAAAUCCAGGUGAUAAAGGGUAGGUAGCAAAUAUUCAUCACCACAUCAAUGAGAAGGUGCCACAGAUCAUUGAGCAAAUAUGCAGAUGUAGAUAUAACCUGCUAUUCUCAACAAGUUUUAUAAACUGUUGGGGGGAAUGCACUUCUACUUAGAGGCAGAUAUGGCGAAGCAAACCAAAGAUCUUGUGUCUCUUUCUGAUGGAGAUACUUAAUUGCUGGCAUCAUGCUUCCCAGUCUGUUCUUCCUGUCUGAGCAAAUUUGGAAGCCCAAGCUACCAUGGAGCUAUCACAUGGACCUCCCAGAC